AAUGAACGUUGGCGGCGUGGAUUAGGCAUGCAAGUCGAACGAAUCCCAGGGGGCAACUCCUGGGGGAAGUGGCGAAAGGGGCAGUAAUGUAUGGGUAACCUACCCGGGGGUCGUGGAUAGCCGUCCUAACGGACGGGUAAUACAUGGCGAUUCGACGGAGUGGCAUCACUUUGUCGGGAAAGAAUUUCGCCUCCGGAGGGGCUCAUAUCGUAUUAGCUAGUUGGUGAGGUAACGGCUCACCAAGGCGAAGAUGCGUAGCGGGUGUGAGAGCACGACCCGCGCCACUGGCACUGAGACACUGGCCAGACACCUACGGGUGGCUGCAGUCGAGGAUCUUCGGCAAUGAGCGCAAGCUUGACCGAGCGACGCCGCGUGGAUGAUGAAGGCCUUCGGGUUGUAAAAUCCUGUCGAGGGGGAUCAAGCGCAAGUUGAGUGAUCCCUGGAGGAAGCACGGGCUAAGUUCGUGCCAGCCGCCGCCGUAACAC
rnacentral:rRNA from 1 species